AAGAGCGUACGGUGGAUGCCUUGGCACCAGGAGCCGAUGAAGGACGUAGGAGGCUGCGAUAAGCCUCGGGGAGCUGUCAACCGAGCUGAGAUCCGAGGAUGUCCGAAUGGGGAAACCCAGCCACAGUGAUGUGUGGUUACCCGCGCCUGAAUAUAU
rnacentral:rRNA from 2 species